CUAGCAGCGAAUUUACAAUACUUUUCAAACAUUUCAUAUGUAUCGUCAUUAAUAAAGCUAAACCAGCAGAGUCACAAUACAAUAUAUAGCUUACAUACAUGUACGAUUGUCUACGAAAUUAUCAUAUCAAUUCACAAAUGGACACAUAAAACUAGUGUUACACAACAGUAUAAGCAAUAGUCAUGAAUGUAGCUCUGCAUAAAAGUUAUGUUCAAAUGAUGAUACGAUCAAUGGCGUUUUUGUGUAAACGUUUAUUUCUUCUAGUAUUAAUGCAAAAGCCAUGACAACAAUCUCACUAUUUAACAUAUUUGUUUUUAUAGAUAAGACGUUAACAUGUCCCUUGCAUAUGUUUGAACAGCUCUUACGGUCACCUCUUACAAAUAUACGAUAAUAAGUGGGACCUAGCAUGUCUAUUCUUUUCCUAAACCUGCAGCGAUGGCCCAGACCAAACAUGUGUUGUUCACGUAUGGUCAUAUUUCAUGAAGUAUGAGAUAUCUGAUUGCACGAUGAAAAGCGUAUAACACUUGUAUGUUCAUGAAGAAGAUAUAAUAUUUGCCAGUUAGGUACCUAUUUUGAUAAUACUUCUACGCUGCAAACCCAUAAUAGAAUCAUACUCAAUUACCCACAUAAUAAAUGUAACGCGGCAUAAACAUAUAACUGCUUCACAUAAUUGUUAUGUUUAGAGGCAUGUCAAACACUCCUCUUAUACUAAUCUCGUGAAGGUGACGUCAGCAUGACGUCACUAACACUCGUGAUAAAGGUUAGCCCGACAUAAAAUUUAAUAGUUAACAAAACAAUUAUGUUCAAUGUUUCAACAAACACGCCAAUAAUUUUGGUGAAAUUGACGUCCGCAUAACAUCUCUAACAUUCAUAUGUAACUAUUCUUUGUACAUUUGUAAAGGGGUUAUAAAUUACGAAAAACAUAGACAAUGAUAUAUAUAAAUUGAACAUUUGUUACAGAUCUAUAAUUAAGGAGGAUAAAACUAAACGCUAAAGUUCUGUUUUUAAGACUACUUUAUAAGAGGUGCUUGUAUAUAUAACGUUAAAGUUCUGUUUUAAGACUACUUUAUAAGAGGUGUUUGUAUAUAUAACGUUAAAGUUAUGUUUUUAAGACUACAUUAUAAGAGGUGCUUGUAUAUAUAACGUUAAAGUUCUGUUUUAAGACUACUUUAUAAGAGGUGCUUGUAUAUAUAACGCUAAACUUCUGUUUUUAAGACUACCUAAUAAGAGGUGCUUGUAUAUAUAACGUUAAAGUUAUGUUUUUAAGACUACAUUAUAAGAGGUGCUUUUAUAUAUAACGUUAAAGUUCUGUUUUAAGACUACUUUAUAAGAGGUGUUUGUAUAUAUAACGUUAAAGUUAUGUUUUUAAGACUACAUUAUAAGAGGUGCUUUUAUAUAUAACGUUAAAGUUCUGUUUUAAGACUACCUUAUAAGAGGUGCUUGCAUAUAUAACGCUAAACUUCUGUUUUUAAGACUCCUUUAUAAGAGGUGCUUGUAUAUAUAACGCUAAACUUCUGUUUUUAGGACUACUUUAUAAGGGGUGCUUGUAUAUAUAACGCUAAACUUCUGUUUUUAGGACUACUUUAUAAGGGGUGCUUGUAUAUAUAACGCUAAAGUUCUGUUUUUAAGACUACUUUAUAGAGGUGCUUGUAUAUAUAACGUUAAAGUUCUGUUUUAAGACUACCUUAUAAGAGGUGCUUGCAUAUAUAACGCUAAACUUCUGUUUUUAAGACUACUUCAUAAGAGGUGCUUGUAUAUAUAACGCUAAAGUUAUGUUUUUUAAGACUACUUUAUAAGAGGUGUUUGUAUAUAUAACGCUAAACUUCUGUUUUUAGGACUACUUUAUAAGGGGUGCUUGUAUAUAUAACGCUAAAGUUCUGUUUUAAGACUACUUUAUAAGAGGUGUUUGUAUAUAUAACGCUAAAGUUCUGUUUUUAAGACUACUUAAUAAGAGGUGCUUGUAUAUAUAACGCUAAACUUCUGUUUGUAAGACUACUUUAUAAGAGGUGCUUGUAUACAUAACGCUAAACUUCUGUUUUUAAGACUACUUCAUAAGAGGUGCUUGUAUAUAUAACGCUAAACUUCUGUUUUUAGGACUACUUUAUAAGGGGUGCUUGUAUAUAUAACGCUAAACUUCUGUUUUCAAGACUACUUUAUAAGAGGUGCUUGUAUACAUAACGCUAAACUUCUGUUUUUAAGACUACUAUAUAAGAGGUGCUUGUAUAUAUAACGCUAAACUACUGUUUUUAAGACUACUUUAUAAGAGGUGCGUGUAUAUAUAACGCUAAAGUUCUGUUUUUAAGACUACUUAAUAAGAGGUGCUUGUAUAUAUAACGCUAAACUACUGUUUUUAAGACUACUUUAUAAGAGGUGCGUGUAUAUAUAACGCUAAAGUUCUGUUUUUAAGACUACUUAAUAAGAGGUGCUUGUAUAUAUAACGCUAAAGUUAUGUUUUUUAAGACUACUUUAUAAGAGGUGUUUGUAUAUAUAACGCUAAACUUCUGUUUUUAAGGCUACUUUAUAAGAGGUGCUUGUAUAUAUAACGCUAAACCUCUGUUUUUAAGACUACUUUAUAAGAGGUCCUUGUAUAUAUAACGCUAAAGUUCUGUUUUUAAGACUACUUUAUAGAGGUGCUUGUAUAUAUAACGUUAAAGUUCUGUUUUUAAGACUACUUUA